rnacentral:rRNA from 1 species
AAAUUGAAGAGUUUGAUCAUGGCUCAGAUUGAACGCUGGCGGCAGGCCUAACACAUGCAAGUCGAACGGUAACAGGAAGCAGCUUGCUGCUUUGCUGACGAGUGGCGGACGGGUGAGUAAUGUCUGGGAAACUGCCUGAUGGAGGGGGAUAACUACUGGAAACGGUGGCUAAUACCGCAUAACGUCGCAAGACCAAAGAGGGGGACCUUCGGGCCUCUUGCCAUCAGAUGUGCCCAGAUGGGAUUAGCUAGUUGGUGAGGUAACGGCUCACCAAGGCGACGAUCCCUAGCUGGUCUGAGAGGAUGACCAGCCACACUGGAACUGAGACACGGUCCAGACUCCUACGGGAGGCAGCAGUGGGGAAUAUUGCACAAUGGGCGCAAGCCUGAUGCAGCCAUGCCGCGUGUAUGAAGAAGGCCUUAGGGUUGUAAAGUACUUUCAGCGGGGAGGAAGGUGUUGCGGUUAAUAACCGCAGCAAUUGACGUUACCCGCAGAAGAAGCACCGGCUAACUCCGUGCCAGCAGCCGCGGUAAUACGGAGGGUGCAAGCGUUAAUCGGAAUUACUGGGCGUAAAGCGCACGCAGGCGGUCUGUCAAGUCGGAUGUGAAAUCCCCGGGCUUAACCUGGGAACUGCCUUCGAAACUGGCAGGCUUGAGUCUUGUAGAGGGGGGUAGAAUUCCAGGUGUAGCGGUGAAAUGCGUAGAGAUCUGGAGGAAUACCGGUGGCGAAGGCGGCCCCCUGGACAAAGACUGACGCUCAGGUGCGAAAGCGUGGGGAGCAAACAGGAUUAGAUACCCUGGUAGUCCACGCCGUAAACGAUGUCUACUUGGAGGUUGUGCCCUUUGGGCGUGGCUUCCGGAGCUAACGCGUUAAGUAGACCGCCUGGGGAGUACGGCCGCAAGGUUAAAACUCAAAUGAAUUGACGGGGGCCCGCACAAGCGGUGGAGCAUGUGGUUUAAUUCGAUGCAACGCGAAGAACCUUACCUGGUCUUGACAUCCACAGAACUUUCCAGAGAUGGAUUGGUGCCUUCGGGAACUGUGAGACAGGUGCUGCAUGGCUGUCGUCAGCUCGUGUUGUGAAAUGUUGGGUUAAGUCCCGCAACGAGCGCAACCCUUAUCCUUUGUUGCCAGCGAUUAGGUCGGGAACUCAAAGGAGACUGCCAGUGAUAAACUGGAGGAAGGUGGGGAUGACGUCAAGUCAUCAUGGCCCUUACGACCAGGGCUACACACGUGCUACAAUGGCGCAUACAAAGAGAAGCGACCUCGCGAGAGCAAGCGGACCUCAUAAAGUGCGUCGUAGUCCGGAUUGGAGUCUGCAACUCGACUCCAUGAAGUCGGAAUCGCUAGUAAUCGUGGAUCAGAAUGCCACGGUGAAUACGUUCCCGGGCCUUGUACACACCGCCCGUCACACCAUGGGAGUGGGUUGCAAAAGAAGUAGGUAGCUUAACCUUCGGGAGGGCGCUUACCACUUUGUGAUUCAUGACUGGGGUGAAGUCGUAACAAGGUAACCGUAGGGGAACCUGCGGUUGGAUCACCUCCUUACCUUAAAGAA